rnacentral:lncRNA from 1 species
CUCUCCACCACCACCACCAACACUCUUAGACUGUUCGCUGCCUGAAUCCCGUGACCAUGUUGGUGACCUUGACUUAGACUUCGACUUGGAGCUUCUCCUCUUCAAAUCCUCCUCCCUUGAUUCCCCAACAACCCUGCCUGCCCCCAAAGAAUCCCUUGACCGUGUAGGUGAGCUCACAUCCCUAACAUCCUUCAGUUGCACCUUACUACCUCUAGUCUCAUCAAUUCCACCACCAACACUCUUAGACUGCUCACUGCCUGAAUCCCGUGACCAUGUUGGCGACCUUGACAUUGACGUAGACAUUGCCUUGGUGCUUCUCCUCCUCAAAUCUUCCCUUUCCCUUGAUUCCCCAACAACCCUCCCUGCCCCCAAAGAAUCCCUUGACCUUGUAGGUGAGCUCACAUCCCUAACAUCCCUCAGUUGCACCUUACUACUCCCUCUAACGUCAUCAAUUCCCAACCUUCGCCACGAGCUCCCACACACACUCUCACGACGAGUUCGGUCCCUUUCUGACCGGAACCCCUUUGGAAACUCUCUAUGAG